UAGAGUGAGAUAACUAUAUUUUUUCUCAUUCUAACUUAUCGCACCAGUUUAGCAGUGUAGCUAGAAGGGACAGAUCCUUUGGCAGAAGAUGCCGAACGAAGAUGCAUUGCGCCUCGUUAGACCUUUCUUACAUUCUAUCGGAGUAUGAAAAAAUUAACGGUGUUUUAUACAAACCGAUCAACUCGACACAACGAAUAAAGUACACAUGUUUCAACAUUUCCCUGAAUUAUAUUAUACUUGGCUCAACCAGUGGCAGUUUAUACCUAUUCUCCAAGGAAACAUGUGUGUUUCUGCAAAUAAUACCUCUGUCGGAAGGGGCGGUUUCACAUGUGACGAUAUCACCUGAUGAGAAAACUAUAGUCUUGACAACAACUCGCGACACUGUAUGUCUAGUCUCUUUAAAGCCUACUCCACGACUAAUAGCUGUGCUUACGGAGCAUAUGUAUAAACAAAUUACCUGUCUCUGCUGGAAUAAAAACAGCACCGAAGUGUACAUUGGAGAUGCAGUCGGUAGGAUCUCUGUCAUGGUGUUAUCCAUAUUUACAGUGAAUGGUAUGUUUCAAACUCGAGUCUACACUCUAAUGAAUCUAGACUCCAGUGUCGUGCAGCUGAGCUUCUGCUCGUCUCUACUGCUCGUCUCCACGUUGACGCGCUGUUACAUUUGCGACACGGUACGAGAGCAGUACAAACAAAUAGGUAACAAAGCACGCAACGGCGAAUUCGGCGCAUGCUUCUACGAAGCGCAUACGAACGAAAGCGGCAUCACUCCGGACGACGAGACGACGGAGGCGGGAAACAUCGGCAAGUCGCGCGGCGCGUUUAAUCUGAUCUCUGACAACGACAGCAAUAUCUCGUGCGAGAAUUGUCUGAAGAUCUUUUGCGCACGGCCCGGCUCGCGGUUGUGGGAGGUAUCUGCCGACGGGGUGGUCGUGAAGACGCAUCAGUUGAAAGAGGCGCUGGCCGUGCCGCCGACAGCGAUCUAUCGGCCGGCCGCUGAUUCGGCAUCUAGUCAGCAGGUAGAGGAGAAGGAACAAGCAGAGAGGACAGAGCGGCGCGAGUGGCUGGCGCAGUCCGUCAACUUCUCGCGCCUCUUUGUGAUCGCGCGCAAGUACUUACUUUCUCACACCUCGAACAGUCUGUACGUCAUCGACCCGGCGAGCGCGAAUGUGCUGCUGUGGAGCAACGAGUUCGCAAGCAUCAGCAUGACAGCGGUUGCGGAUGACAAGAUAUACCUCAUGACCGGUGACGGCGAGUUCCAUUGCCUGACAUUGUCGUCGCUCAGCGCGCUGUUAUUACGUCUGUAUCGUCACGAGGAAUAUCGCGAGUGUCUGCGCGCAUGUGACCUUUACAGAGAUUACUUGUCGAAGACGACCGCCAAGAGGGAGAUGGUCGAGCUGCUCGAAUUGGACAAUUUACCACGUCGACGGACCGCCGACACGUCGCGAGAGAAGGAGGAGGAGGAAACGCUGACGCUGACGCUGCGGCUGCGGUUGCGGCCGUUAAUAACGCUUCUACGGUCCAACGGUAGCGGCGAUAGACGCCUGACGCCCGUCAAACUGGACUCCGGUAUCGUGGUCGUGCAUCCCGAGAACGACAGGCUCGCCGCGGACAGAAACAUCGGCCAGCGAUGCGAGACGACGUUCGCGACGGCGUCGCGUUCUUCCGAAACCUCCAGCGAGGAAUCGUCCGCGAUGCAAACACCGGAGACUACGGCGAGCGAGCUCGAUGAAAAUGUCGCGCAGGGGGCUACCGACUCCGAUUACGACGACGCGGAAACGUUGGAUUGUCAAAGAUCCGACCCGCGAGGAAACACCACGCACAGGGUGCAAUCGGACUUGGAGUCGGUCUACACUCUGGCGAGCAGCAUUAGAAUCGACUUGUCCGAGAGGGACGUCGAGGAAAUCGUCUCGAGCAUCGACAGGAGGAUGAGAGCGAUCGGGGAGUCGUACAAGGACUCGCCCGGACUCGAGGCUUUCCUCUACGAGGUUACACGCGCCGCGGAAUUGCAUUGCCACAACUCCUUCCUGGAGAACACCUCCGUGCAGCUGCUGCGUACCACUGGCAGCGAACACAUCGUACGACAAUUCGUCCGGGCGUUCACCGACGUCAAUGCGUCGAGUUACGGUAGAUGCGGCUGCGGCUAUCCCAGCCCGAUGGAGCAGAGUGCCGCGGAGCCGAAAUUCCUGGCCGUCGGCCAAUCGUUGAUCGCGAGAUUCGCCAACGACAAAGCGGAGGAGUGCGGCUACAUCUGCGACAAGGUACCGUACAUGUGGCGCGAAUACCUGGCCGCUCGCGUCGAGCGACGUGACAUCCUGGACGAUGUGUUGAGACAGUGCCUUCAGACCAGAGACAACGUCGUGUUGUCGCUGUUGCUACCGGCGCUGAACGAGCAACAGUGGAGCUGCGUGGACGCUUGUAUAAGUGAGAUGGAGAAUGGCACUUGCUUGUUCUGCGCAACACCCUUGGCCAAGAAGCCCGAUCGCGCCCGAUCGUUGGAUUGGAGCGGGAUAGCCCGGGGGGUCAUGGAAAGAGAAGGACCGGACAAAGCUGUGACGUUUCUGUUCAAGUUGCAGAACAUGAUGCCGGACAUCACGUUGGACAAAACGUACUGAGACGCGUACUACUAAUGCAUAUUCCAAUCGAUUGUAUUUACAAAAAUUCUCCAUCACCACGGCCUGAGAAAGUCGAUUGACUUCGGUAAAAGUAAUCAGCUAUCGGCGGAAUUUGGUACAAUGUGCUCGUUGCAGGUACGUGAGCAAUUGGCGAAAGCUAUCGAGAAAGAUACACGGCGACCGG
rnacentral:misc_RNA from 1 species